rnacentral:lncRNA from 1 species
CAAAGAAUUAGUCCAGGCUACCAGCUACAAAGGGGCUGCAGACCCUGAACACCAGCUGCACAUACUUGACCGAAACUACUGACAUUGAUUUAGGGAACAAAUGUGAAAACACAACCUUGGACACAGUUCUCUCUGAUAUUUUCACUAUUUUAAAAUAUCUCAAACCCACAUGAUGUAAAUAUUCCUUCUUGUUAUAGCCUACUUUUAAUUCAUUUUUGAGAUAACUUGCAACCAGGCUUGCCUUUUUUUCUCCCUCUGUUUUCUCAGGGAAAGUAAAUCUGAAAGGGUGAAGUGCACUGAAGAAGGAACAUAAAUGUCCAAGGAACUUGAAGAAGUGCCUUCUCACACCUGGAAGAGCAACUUCCAGAAGCAGGCUAAUUCCUCAUGUGGUGCACUUCAGUAGCCCUGAAAUGCUGAGACAGACACUAUUUGAGACACCCAUGUGGCCACAGACUGGCACCUCAGCAAGGCAUGGAUUUGCCCUAGCCCUUAGGUCAUUCCCACAGUGCUAUAAGGCUGUUCCUGACACCCACGGCCAUCUCAGCACAGCCCACCUGCAUCUUUCAGAUGGACCUACAUGCAGAAGAGGACUGCAAAUGAACUGCCAAAUGCCAAAAGAAAAAAGAAGAAGAAGAAGAAAAGAAAAAGCAAAGCAAUCCUUUGCAUUCUCAAGUGUUAAAUUUGCUUGCCCAUUCAUGCUGUAUAUAAUAUUUCACUAACAGAAGGCUGCCAGGUCAGCAGGACACACUCUUGCCUGAGUACAAUGAACCAUUACAAGAAGUACAAAUUAUUACUAUUAUUUCUUUUGUUUCAUAAUAAAAAAGAGAGAAACCCAUGU